UACGUAGGGGGCAAACGUUGUCCGGAUUUACUGGGUGUAAAGGGUGCUCAGGCGGUCUUGUAAGUCAGAAGUGAAAUCCUAGAGCUUAACUCUGGAACUGCUUUUGAUACUGCAAGGCUUGAAUAUGGAAGAGGAGGGUGGAAUUUCUGGUGUAGCAGUGAAAUGCGUAGAUAUCAGAAGGAACAUCAGUGGCGAAAGCGACUUCCUGGACCAAUACUGACGCUCAUGUGCGAAAGCGUGGGGAGCAAACAGG
rnacentral:rRNA from 1 species